rnacentral:misc_RNA from 1 species
UGGAUCUUUAUCAACUAGAUGGCUAGGAAUCAAGUUGAAGCCGUGACUGGCCUUCCUGGAAAUGCGCUUGGUGGCAUUUAAAGAUUGCUCAUCCGCUGAAUUUUGGGUAGGAGGACGACGAAGGAGAGCUUGACGAAGGAUUCCCCAUCUCAGAGAAGCUGCUUUUGCAUUUGCUAUGCCUUCUGUUUUAUCCAUAUACUGUCAAUUUGAAGUUG